rnacentral:snRNA from 1 species
AAUAAUAUCCUACUUAAAUGGAUAAUAUGUCAUAAAGACACUAAAGUCUCUCUCAUAUUAUAUGGAAGUCAGUAGGUGAAUCAUUAAUUACAACAAUUCCUUUAUUAUAUGUCCAAUGCCAUCAUUCCAAGUUAUUACUUUCCUUAAACUAAGAAUUUUGUAAAUUGGACAAUA